GUUCAGUCCCGCCUCAAAUGUGACACAAAGCAAGGAUAUUAAAUGUAACUUUCAAGCUGGCUCAGCUGCUUUGAUGGGUACAGUUAUAAGUCUGCUGGUCUCAACCAAGCAAAGCUGGUCAUAUUCAUCUGUACACAAGCUACUUCAGACUUCUUUGCAGAACAGAGAAUGAAAUCUGCAAGAAAGAUCUCCCCUCAGCAUAGAACUCUCACCUCAGGAAUCCAAAAUCACUCCAGGAUUUUGAGCAACUGGUCUCUAUCACAGCCCCCAGCCCCGUGCACAAAGCUG
rnacentral:lncRNA from 12 species